AUCUUCUCUCGCUCUCGCUCUGGCUCUGGCUCUCAACGUGUAUGUGUACGUCUUUCGGCCCCUUUCUUUUAGCCGCACACUAUCUUUCUGUCUUUCUAUCUACAUAUCUGUCUGCUGUUUGCUCUAUUUUGAAAUUCCCGCCUUGUGUGUCACCUCAAAUAAAAUUAGCAGCUGUGAGGAAAAGCAAAGAUAUUAUUGUUCAGAUUUGCGUCAUUUCCACUGAUGUACAUAUGUAUGUACACUUGUGUUCGACGGAAAAUGUAUCAAAAUCCGCAUCAGAGAUGGAAAAUGUAUGAAAAUCAUAAUCAUCAUCAUCAAAAGAGAAGAGAAGAGAAGAUAAGAGAGAAGAGAAGAGAGACAGCAGAAGAUGGAGAGUGCGAGGGAGCGGCUGAUUGUUGAAAAUGGUUGGAAAAUGCAAUAAAAGACACUUGAAAUAAUCGUAAUGAAGUAUUUUGCACAAAAGGCAGGAAGCCAGUGGCAAUGGCAGUGGCAGAGCCAGAGCCAGAGCCAGAGCGGCAAGAGCUUGCCACUUGAUGUCCCAAUUAAAGUUUAACACAACCCGCACACACACACCAGCACACAGCCCCCACUCAACACACACACACACACACACAGGCAAGCCGAACAGGUGCGUGCUGCAUUCUAUGUACUUAGCACAGGAAUUGUAAGAGAAUUUGCAUAAAAAAUUUUCACUAAAAUAAUGUUUGAAUAAAAAAAAAGGAAAGGAAAG